UACAGCCAUGUCCACCACGCGUCCGACUUCCGGGCGGCAGCCAACCAAAUCUCAAUUGUGAAAAUCAGUCGAGGGGUUGGUUUUUCGCCCACCAGGUGGCACUCGAAUUCGUGCCUAGUCAUGUAUGGGACGGGGAACUGUGGAGGAUUGUCUGCUGUCUGUGUGUCUGUCUAGCGUGUCACGAAAUUUCUUACUGUGUGAUUCAAGUGCUCUACCAACACUAUUAGUUUGUGUGGAGGAAAAGAUGUCAUCUUUAAUUGUGACCAUAAUCUGCCUUGCUCUGUUUGGGUUACAAUCAACAAUGAUGAAAACAGAAGAAUAAAUUUGGAAAAAGCUGUUGGAUCAGACGAGUUAUGGACUUUAAGAAAAUUUGGUAUCAGAACAUUUGGCUACCCAACCUUCCACUUUUAGUUGCAGUUUGCAAAACAGCUUACAGACGCCCAGAAAUCACCAUUAGCCGAAGAAAAGGACAAUGUGAAAGUUUCCAAGUCCAAGGAGUUCUGUCGUGGCAAGCUGAUUGCGCAGCAACUGGAGAAAGUGUUUGUCGAGCAAACAAACUGCCAUGUCAAAUUCUUGUACCAAGACGAGGAGAAAAUCAGUGGCCAUAUUUCCAUUUUGGCUGCCACAAGUCCUGUUUUCUCUGCCAUGUUUUACCACAACCUUCAAGAGUCCAUGACGGGCAAAGUCUUAUUCGUCCAAGACAUCCGGCCACAGAUUUUCAAGGAGAUGCUACAUUACAUUUACUCCGGCCAGACUUUGGCUCCUUUGACGGACGCCAUGGCUCAACCUCUGUUCGUAGUUUCAAACAAAUACGCUAUCGAGGACCUGAAUGAGAAGUGCGUCCGUUAUCUGCUGAGAUGAGAAGCAUCCGGACGAGUAAUGCCGUUGACUUAUUGGUCUGGGCAAAUCAUCUUCAUUCGGUGGAGAAAAUCGAAGAAGCGGCUCUUGACUUUGUGGCCAGAAAUUUCAAAAUCAUUUGUCAGUCGAAUGAAUGGCAGAACCUGAUGAAGAACUAUCCGGAGCUUGGAUUCCUGGUGACUCAACGCUAUGCAGCUGUUUAAGAAAUACGCCAGGUGAAGAGUUUUGUAUAAUUUAAAAUGGUCCGACAUUUGUCGUUUAUUUGUGUAAUGUUAAAUGUUUGAAGCUUCAUCGAUAAUAAAGACGAUUUCUUUUUUACUUAAAUUAUGUGCGUUCCAGCGGUUCUAGCGUCACCGCCAAAAUCCACAUGUGUUCACGAUCCUCGCAAUAACAACACGUACAGCAUGAUACUGGACACUUAAGCAAGAUUUGCUUUUUAUCAGCACGGUCAGCUAGUAUGGCAUCCAUGAAUAGUGAUUUUGACGAAAUCUUUUCUUUCGGUGGUUCUUGUUGCCAAUCGAUAAUACGACGCGCUCUAAGGUUGCAGAGAAAUAUUUUAAAAAAUAGCCGACUAUCCUUCAAACGGUUCAAAUGGAAAAUUUAUUCAUUCACCGAAGAAACGAGUCAAAUGACUCAGCAGAUGUCAUUCAUGUCAAUUGGUAUAUAAAGUGAGUUUU